UACGAAGGGGGCUAGCGUUGCUCGGAAUCACUGGGCGUAAAGCGCACGUAGGCGGCUUUUUAAGUCAGGGGUGAAAUCCUGGAGCUCAACUCCAGAACUGCCUUUGAUACUGAGAAGCUUGAGUCCGGGAGAGGUGAGUGGAACUGCGAGUGUAGAGGUGAAAUUCGUAGAUAUUCGCAAGAACACCAGUGGCGAAGGCGGCUCACUGGCCCGGUACUGACGC
rnacentral:rRNA from 1 species